rnacentral:rRNA from 1 species
GAUGAACGCUGGCGGCGUGCCUAAUACAUGCAAGUCGAACGCUGAAGGAGGAGCUUGCUCUUCUGGAUGAGUUGCGAACGGGUGAGUAACGCGUAGGUAACCUGCCUGGUAGCGGGGGAUAACUAUUGGAAACGAUAGCUAAUACCGCAUGACAACAGCUAUUGCAUGAUAACUGUUUAAAAGGGGCAACUGCUGCACUACCAGAUGGAGCUGCGGUGUAUUAGCUAGUUGGUGAGGUAACGGCUCACCAAGGCGACGAUACAUAGCAGACCUGAGAGGGGGAGCGGCCGCACUGGGAGUGUGACACGGCCCAGUGGCACUCGGGAGGCAGCAGUAGGGAAACUUCGGCAAUGGAUGGAAGACUGACCGAGCUACGCGGCGUGAGUGAAGAAGGUUUUCGGAUCGUAAAGCACUGUUGUAAGGGAAGAACGAGCGUGAGAGUGGAAAGAUCACACUGUGACGGUAUCUGAUAAGAAAGGAACGGCUAACUACGUG